rnacentral:sRNA from 1 species
AUUCAUAGGUAAGAUCACUUUGAUUUAUUUGUCUUUUUUUGUUGAGACUGUAUGUUCGAGAAUUAUCUUUCUGCGAAAUAUCCAUCCUUGGCCGAAAAAGAACUCUACGUCAGAAGAGCUGAAGAAUAUCAUCUAUGGGUUAAAGAAUAUG